rnacentral:rRNA from 1 species
UUAAGCAUNUCAAUAAGCGGAGGAAAAGAAACCAACAGGGAUUGCCCUAGUAACGGCGAGUGAAGCGGCAACAGCUCAAAUUUGAAAUCUGGCGUCUUCGGCGUCCGAGUUGUAAUUUGCAGAGGGCGCUUUGGCAUUGGCAGCGGUCCAAGUUCCUUGGAACAGGACGUCACAGAGGGUGAGAAUCCCGUACGUGGUCGCUAGCCUUUACCGUGUAAAGCCCCUUCGACGAGUCGAGUUGUUUGGGAAUGCAGCUCUAAAUGGGAGGUAAAUUUCUUCUAAAGCUAAAUACUGGCCAGAGACCGAUAGCGCACAAGUAGAGUGAUCGAAAGAUGAAAAGCACUUUGGAAAGAGAGUUAAAAAGCACGUGAAAUUGUUGAAAGGGAAGCGCUUGCAGCCAGACUUGCCUGUAGUUGCUCAUCCGGGUUUCUACCCGGUGCACUCUUCUAUAGGCAGGCCAGCAUCAGUUUGGGCGGUUGGAUAAAGGUCUCUGUCAUGUACCUCCUUUCGGGGAGAUCUUAUAGGGGAGACGACAUGCAACCAGCCUGGACUGAGGUCCGCGCAUCUGCUAGGAUGCUGGCGUAAUGGCUGUAAGCGGCCCGUCUUGAAACACGGACCAAGGAGUCUAACAUCUAUGCGAGUGUUUGGGUGUCAAGCCCGAACGCGUAAUGAAAGUGAACGGAGGUGGGAACCUUUCGGGGUGCACCAUCGACCGAUCCUGAUGUCUUCGGAUGGAUUUGAGUAAGAGCAUAGCUGUUGGGACCCGAAAGAUGGUGAACUAUGCUUGAAUAGGGUGAAGCCAGAGGAAACUCUGGUGGAGGCUCGCAGCGGUUCUGACGUGCAAAUCGAUCGUCAAAUUUGGGCAUA